CAGGCGGUUUGAGGUCUGAGGUUUCGGUUGGUCCUUCACGGAAACAUGGUGUCCGCUUCGGUGCUUUGUCUUUUAACGGUAGCCUUUAUCUGUCGAGAGGCAGCAGCAGACAGACAACUUAAAUAUGUGACUGUGUUGUUUCGUCAUGGUGACAGGUCACCAGUCAGAGCCUAUCCCACCGACCCGCACCAAGAGAGCGACUGGCCACAAGGCUUUGGACAGCUGUCACAGGAGGGGAUGAAGCAGCACUUUGAACUGGGCCAGUUUCUAAGGAACCGAUAUAAAGGAUUCCUCAAUGAAUCCUACCUUAGACAUGAGAUCUCGGUUCGCAGCACAGACUACGAUCGCACCCUGAUGAGCGCUGAGGCCAACCUCGCAGGUCUCUACCCCCCCAGUGGUCAGCAGGUCUUCACGAAAGACCUGCUGUGGCAGCCGAUACCCGUACACACUGUGCCACUAAGUGAAGAGAGGCUCCUCUCUUUUCCUCUGUCUGACUGUCCUCGCUACAAACAACUGAUGAAUGAAACGGAGCACACAGAGAAAUUUAUCAAUGUCACCAUUGAAUACCAGGACAUUCUAGAGCUGGUGAGGAAUAAAACAGGGCUGAAUAAGACGACCGUGGAGUCAGUCUGGAGUGUGUACGACACACUCUUCUGUGAGUCUCGUCACAACAUGUCAGCUCCUGAUUGGGUGACUCCUGUUGUCAUGGAGAAGCUCAGAGAGCUCAAAGACUUUGGAUUUCAGGUUACAUUCGGGGUCCACAAACAACAAGAAAAGAGCCGGCUGCAGGGAGGUAUGCUGUUGGGUGAAAUAGUGAAGAAUCUCUCCAAGAUGGCUGCCCCAGACCCAAAACAGAGGCUGAAAUUCAUGAUGCUUUCGGCGCACGACACCACUGUUGCCGCUCUGCAGUCCAGCCUCGAUGUGUUCAACGGAAGACAGCCGCCAUACGCCUCCUGUCACAUGUUUGAGCUGUACAGAGACGACAACGGCUCUGCUUCGGUGUCGAUGUUUUUCCGGAACAACAGCAAAGUGGAGCCGUAUCCUCUGCAGUUACCAGGCUGCUCCCUUGACUGCCCCCUGGAUGAGUUUGUGAGACUUACAAAGCCCUCGAUCUCAGAUGACCGAGACAAAGAGUGUCAGUUGCCCUCAGAGGGGAGAGAUACAGAAGUGAUCAUCAGUCUGGUGGUGUCCAGCUGUCUGCUCUUCUUUCUCAUCGUCCUUCUCCUCGGCAUCGUUUGUUGGCGGAAGGAUCCAAUCACCAACCGGGGAUACCACCAUGUGAUCAACCAGGAAGGCGGAGAGGAAUCCUGACAGAAGCACAAACUCCUCCCUCGGAGGUCUGCGAGCCUGGCAUCCUGGGACAGCAGCGAUGACGAUGAACUCUAAAACCCCCGAGGGUCCUUUUUGAUGGUUUCGUGAACAAGUGCAGGUCUGAUUUUCCUUAAAAUAACAGCACAAAAAGGACUUUACCUGAUUGCAGAGACCUGAGACUAAAACUUUUAAAUUUAAAUUUAAACUUGAUUAGAUAAAAUAUUUCUAUACUAAAUCCCAGUGCAAAAUUAAAUUUUCUUGUCAGUUUAUUCAUAAUUUGCUGCUUUGUGUGCACAGUGUGUGUGAUGUCCCUGAGGCCAAAUGACUGAGCUGCCUUAAAUAUUUGUAGUAUUAUGGAGUAAUAUUUUUUUUGUUGUUGUUCUGGUGUAACACAUUUUUGAUUGAGCUUCUUCAAAUAGGUGCUUUUGAUUGAUGAAAGGAGCAGCAGGGUGGUGUUGAACUUUGGAAAACUCUCCCAGAGAGAACUGGCUGAAACUUAAUGACUGCAAGACACUAAAACACCAGCAAAUAAAAGCAAAAUGUAUAAUUUAGUUAGUUUUUUUGUGUCAGCAAGAAUUAAAUCAACAUUGGGAUCAUAUAAACCAGCAUCUUACAGAUAGACAUCGCUUCUUUUGGAAACACUGGAAAUCUGUACAUUUGUGUGUGUGUGUUUAUUUUAAUCUGGCUGCCUUAAAAAAAAAAGAAUCAUCUUUGAAUUAUUUAAAUAUGAAAAUUGUGUUGUCUUUGAACCAAUCCUUUAAAAUGUAGAGCACAUAUUGGAUACAUUUCCUCAAGUGAUAUUAUUGAAAACCAUGACCUGCGCACUUUGAAGGUUCAGCUCAGGCAGUUUUAGAUAUACAGAUCACCCAGGGUUUUAUACAAUGUUGUUCACCUCGUUACGAAAUAAAAAUCUAAUAUAUAUUAAAAAAAAAUCCUGGCAUGAUCAGGAUUUUUUCCGCCCGAGUCAGGAUUCUGGACUUUGAAUUAAUUUGCGCAAAUUAAAAAAUAUUUGUAGUUAAUUCAAA